rnacentral:antisense_RNA from 1 species
GGGCCCGAGGAGCUUGUUGGGACGUUCAGGAGACCCCGAGGUGGGAGGUUUUGGACACAACCCGCAUCUCCUCAGAGCGCCUUCGACUCUGGAGGCCGCCGUGUGACGGCCUGACACAGGGCUGCGGUGAGGACCGACCAGAGAGGGAUUUCCUUUUCGUCCUCCCAACUACCAGGGAUUGAGCACUGGGGGGCCAGGCAAGGGAGAACAUACUAUUUCAUAUCAAAUCAGAUUCUCCACGUUACCUACUCAAGUCAUAAGCAUCUGAAGAAAGUGCUCUGUAAAUUCUCAGCAGAAUAUGCUUUCAACAAUUCUUUAAAAACAAUAAAGUCAUAAUAAAAACC